rnacentral:lncRNA from 1 species
AGGAGUUGAUUGUGACUACAGCUUCAUCCGUUCUGCUUUGCAUCCUAGCCCUUGUUCUCUUACCUCCAAACUCCCAACUUUAACACUAUGCAAAAAGAAGAUUUCCCAUCACAUCAAACUUGCGGUACAUGCAUGGAGUACUAAAUGUAGACGAAAUCAAAAACUAUUUGCACAGUUUUGUUGUACUUUGCGAGACGAAUCUUUUGAGCCUAAUUAGUCAAUAUUUGGACAAUAAUUCACAAAUACAAACGAAACGCUACAGUGUUGCUACAGUAAUUUGGCACCUCCCAAAUUCGCGAAGUAAACAAGAGCCUAGCUUCGUACUACCGAUAGCAAUUGGUGCCGGACUUGAAAAGACAUGCUUGAUAAAUGACACCACCACCUCAGAUUUGAAAAAUUUUGCACGAACAGAUCAGGUGUUGCUAUCCAAUGAUUGGGGGAAGUGAAACAUGCUACGAGAGAGUCAGCUGCUAACAGGUUGUUCUACACUGUAAUACAAGGUAUAGAGAGACUUCAGUGACAUCUAGAUUUGCCCAUGUCUGUCGAUCAGGGCUCACGGGAUGGGUGUGUUAUCUAAUGUACCUAUACAGUUGCUUCGUGUUCACGACUCACGAGUUCUUAU